AGUCUGCAACUCGACUGCAUGAAGCCGGAAUCGCUAGUAAUCGCGGAUCAGAAUGCCGCGGUGAAUACGUUCCCGGGUCUUGUACACACCGCCCGUCACACCAUGGGAGUCGGAAAUGCCCGAAGCCGGUGGCCUAACCGAUAAGGGAGGAGCCGUCGAAGGCAGGUCUGAUGACUGGGGUGAAGUCGUAACAAGGUACC
rnacentral:rRNA from 1 species